rnacentral:rRNA from 1 species
UACAGAGGGUGCGAGCGUUAAUCGGAAUUACUGGGCGUAAAGGGCGCGUAGGCGGUGUGUCAAGUCAGGCGUGAAAGCCCCGGGCUCAACCUGGGAACCGCGCUUGAGACUGGCACGCUAGAGUUCGGGAGAGGAUGGUGGAAUUCCCAGUGUAGAGGUGAAAUUCGUAGAUAUUGGGAAGAACACCGAUGGCGAAGGCAGCCAUCUGGACCGACACUGACGCUGAGGCGCGAAAGCGUGGGGAGCAAACAGG